GACGAACGCUGGCGGCGUGCUUAACACAUGCAAGUCGAACGGCAGCAUGGAGAGCUUGCUCUCUGAUGGCGAGUGGCGAACGGGUGAGUAAUGCAUCGGAACGUACCGUGUAAUGGGGGAUAACGUAGCGAAAGUUACGCUAAUACCGCAUACGACCUGAGGGUGAAAGCAGGGGAUCGCAAGACCUUGCGUUAUACGAGCGGCCGAUGUCAGAUUAGCUAGUUGGUGAGGUAAAGGCUCACCAAGGCGACGAUCUGUAGCGGGUCUGAGAGGAUGAUCCGCCACACUGGGACUGAGACACGGCCCAGACUCCUACGGGAGGCAGCAGUGGGGAAUUUUGGACAAUGGGGGCAACCCUGAUCCAGCCAUGCCGCGUGAGUGAAGAAGGCCUUCGGGUUGUAAAGCUCUUUCGGCCGGGAAGAAAUCGCACAGGCUAAUACUCUGUGUGGAUGACGGUACCGGCAUAAGAAGCACCGGCUAACUACGUGCCAGCAGCCGCCGUAA
rnacentral:rRNA from 1 species